UAACGACUCUCGGCAACGGAUAUCUCGGCUCUCGCAUCGAUGAAGAACGUAGCGAAAUGCGAUACUUGGUGUGAAUUGCAGAAUCCCGUGAACCAUCGAGUCUUUGAACGCAAGUUGCGCCCUAAGCCUUCUGGCCGAGGGCACGUCUGCCUGGGUGUCACAA
rnacentral:rRNA from 1 species